GUGCUCACUUUGGCAGUACAUAUACUAAAAUUGUAACGAUACAGAAAAGAUUAGCAUGGCCCCCUGCUCAAGGAUGACAUGCAAAUUCAUGAAGCCUUCCAUAUUAAA
ensembl:snRNA U6 U6 spliceosomal RNA